UACGUAGGCAGCGAGCGUUGUUCGGAGUUACUGGGCGUAAAGGGUGUGUAGGCGGUUCUUUAAGUUUGGUGUGAAAUCUCCCGGCUCAACCGGGAGGGUGCGCCGAAUACUGAGGAGCUAGAGUGCGGGAGAGGAAAGUGGAAUUCCUGGUGUAGCGGUGAAAUGCGUAGAUAUCAGGAGGAACACCGGUGGUGUAGACGGCUUUCUGGACCGUAACUGACGCUGAGACACGAAAGCGUGGGUAGCGAACAGG
rnacentral:rRNA from 1 species